rnacentral:rRNA from 1 species
UACGGGGGGUGCGAGCGUUGUCCGGAAUCACUGGGCGUAAAGGGCGCGUAGGUGGUUUGAUAAGGGUGUGGUGAAAGCCCGGGGCUCAACCCCGGGUCUGCCGUGCCGACUGUUAAACUCGAGGGCUGUAGAGGCAGACGGAAUUCCGGGUGUAGCGGUGGAAUGCGUAGAGAUCCGGAGGAAGACCGGUGGCGAAGGCGGUCUGCUGGGCAGUUCUGAC